UACGAAGGGUGCAAGCGUUAAUCGGAAUUACUGGGCGUAAAGCGUGCGUAGGCGGUUUCUUAAGUCUGCUGUGAAAGCCCUGGGCUCAACCCUGGGGAAUGGCGGUGGAUACUGAGAAGCUGGAGUACGGUAGAGGAAGGUGGAAUUCCCGGUGUAGCGGUGAAAUGCGUAGAGAUCGGGAGGAACAUCAGUGGCGAAGGCGGCCUUCUGGACCAGUACUGACGCUGAGGCACGAAAGCGUGGGGAGGCAAACAGGG
rnacentral:rRNA from 1 species